GACGAACGCUGGCGGCGUGCUUAACACAUGCAAGUCGAGCGGUAAGGCCCUUCGGGUACACGAGCGGCGAACGGGUGAGUAACACGUGGGUGACCUGCCUCUAGCUCUGGGAUAAGCCUGGGAAACUGGGUCUAAUACCGGAUAUGACUCCACGGCGCAUGUUGUGGGGUGGAAAGCCUUGUGUGGCUAGAGAUGGGCCCGCGGCCUAUCAGCUUGUUGGUGGGGUGAUGGCCACCAAGGCGACGACGGGUAGCCGGCCUGAGAGGGCGACCGGCCACACUGGGACUGAGACACGGCCCAGACUCCUACGGGAGGCAGCAGUGGGGAAUCUUGCGCAAUGGGCGAAAGCCUGACGCAGCGACGCCGCGUGAGGGAUGACGGCCU
rnacentral:rRNA from 1 species